rnacentral:rRNA from 1 species
CGCUGAAGGUUGGUACUUGUACCGACUGGAUGAGCAGCGCACUUGUGAGUAACGCGUGGGGAAUCUGCCUUUGAGCGGGGGAUAACAUUUGGAAACGAAUGCUAAUACCGCAUAAAAACUUUAAACACAAGUUUUAAGUUUGAAAGAUGCAAUUGCAUCACUCAAAGAUGAUCCCGCGUUGUAUUAGCUAGUUGGGGAGGGAAAGGCUCACCAAGGCGAUGAUACAUAGCCGACCUGAGAGGGUGAUCGGCCACAUUGGGACUGAGACACGGCCCAAACUCCUACGGGAGGCAGCAGUAGGGAAUCUUCGGCAAUGGACGAAAGUCUGACCGAGCAACGCCGCGUGAGUGAAGAAGGUUUUCGGAUCGUAAAACUCUGUUGGUAGAGAAGAACGUUGGUGAGAGUGGAAAGCUCAUCAAGUGACGGUAACUACCCAGAAAGGGACGGCUAACUACGUGCCAGCAGCCGCGGUAAUACGUAGGUCCCGAGCGUUGUCCGGAUUUAUUGGGCGUAAAGCGAGCGCAGGUGGUUUAUUAAGUCUGGUGUAAAAGGCAGUGGCUCAACCAUUGUAUGCAUUGGAAACUGGUAGACUUGAGUGCAGGAGAGGAGAGUGGAAUUCCAUGUGUAGCGGUGAAAUGCGUAGAUAUAUGGAGGAACACCGGUGGCGAAAGCGGCUCUCUGGCCUGUAACUGACACUGAGGCUCGAAAGCGUGGGGAGC